rnacentral:rRNA from 1 species
UACGUAGGGUGCAAGCGUUUGUCCGGAAUUAUUGGGCGUAAAGAGCUCGUAGGCGGUCUGUCGCGUCGGAUGUGAAAACCCAGGGCUCAACCCUGGGCCUGCAUUCGAUACGGGCAGACUAGAGUUCGGUAGGGGAGACUGGAAUUCCUGGUGUAGCGGUGAAAUGCGCAGAUAUCAGGAGGAACACCGGUGGCGAAGGCGGGUCUCUGGGCCGAAACUGACGCUGAGGAGCGAAAGCGUGGGGAGCGAACAGG